rnacentral:lncRNA from 1 species
CGUGUUUGUAAUGGAGUGCCAUUAGCCUGUUCCAUCCAAGGCUAUACUUCAUCAGACAAAACAACGUCUUUAUUUGAGUGUGGGCCAUGGCCCCCAACAAAAAACUUUUGGACACCCCUGCUCUAGAACAUCAGAAAAAUCACAGGUGGCUUUUGUAAUCCUACCCAGAUUAUAUUUAAGACCGCCUCCCCCGAGUGUCAGUAAUAUUGCAGCUAAUCUGGUGGUGUUACAGUG